GGCCGCAGUAUACUGACUGUGCAAAGGUAGCAUAAUCAUUAGUCUUUUAAUUGAAGGCUGGUAUGAAUGGUUGGACGAGAUAUUAACUGUUUCAUAAAAAUUUAUAAUAGAAUUUUAUUUUUCAGUCAAAAAGCUGAAAUUUAUUUAAAAGACGAGAAGACCCUAUAAAUCUUUAUAUUUAGAUAAUUAUUAUUUUGUAGAUUUAUUUUGUUAUAAUUGUUGAUAAUAUUUUAUUGGGGUGAUAUUAAAAUUUAAUGAACUUUUAAUUGUUAAAAUCAUUAAUUUAUGAAUAAUUGAUCCAUUACUAGUGAUUAAAAAAAUAAGUUACUUUAGGGAUAACAGCGUAAUUUUUUUGGAGAGUUCAUAUCGAUAAAAAAGAUUGCGACCUCGAUGUUGGAUU
rnacentral:rRNA from 1 species